UCCCAGACACUCCUGGAAACCCUAGCCCUUCUCCCACCCUCGCGCCGCCAUCUUCCUCCUCUCUCUGUGAACAAAACGAAGGGGAAAACCCCACAGUACCUCCUCCACCCACCAUGGCGCCGCCGCUACACACCACCCCUCGCCGUUCCGAGGGCACCAGGAGAUGCGCCUCGUCGUCCUCUACAUCCUGGUGCGAGGAAUCGUUCCGAAGCUUCACAAAUCGAGUGCAGCGUCGCCGAUUCCCCGAGUCGGUCGCCGUCCAUCUUCUUCAAUUCCGGCCACUCCGGCGAGCCCCUGGACUCCGUACCGCUACCAUCAUGUUCUCCGCAUCCAGGCGCAUCUUCGACACCAACCUGCUCGUCCCGAUUCGCUCCCAGUCGACGGAUCCAUGAACAACCAGAGUUCUUUUCCGCCAUGGCCUUCAUCCUGGAGCUCCGCGUUUGUUUGCUUCAUGUUGCCGCGCGCCCAUCUCUUGACACCAUCAUGUUAACAUCGCAGUGAUCUGCACCUGAUGGGCUUCAGCCCAGAUCGUCCCUCCCUUGGAGAAGCCCACCGUGCGCGCCGCAGUCAGUGAGCCAGCGCGGCGGGUAGCAGCCCAAUAUUCCCAGAUCCCCAUCCUGGUUCAAAAGAAAGUGUUUCCUCUCCUUGACAAGAUCCGAACAGCAGACCAGAUGAUCUCCCGCAGAUGGGCUCAGCCCACUUGCCCGCAAGCUUCUUCGCCACCUAGCGCGCGGCAGGCCUCUAUCCACCGCCGUCUCUGCGCAGGUCCGGCCCAAU